GACGAACGCUGGCGGCGCGCUUAAUACAUGCAAGUCGAACGAGAAGCCAGAGCUUGCUCUGGUGGAAAGUGGCGAACGGGUGAGUAACACGUGAGAAACCUGCCCCAAAGAUUGGGAUAAGCCUUGGAAACGAGGUCUAAUACCAAAUACCUUCUUUUUAACACAUGUUAAAAAGAAGAAAUGCUCCGGCGCUUUGGGAUGGUCUCGCGAUCUAUCAGCUUGUUGGUGAGGUAACGGCUCACCAAGGCAUCGACGGAUAGCUGGUCUGAGAGGAUGUCCAGCCACAUUGGAACUGAGACACGGUCCAAACUCCUACGGGAGGCAGCAGUAGGGAAUCUUGCACAAUGAGGGAAACCUUGAUGCAGCGACGCCGCGUGCGGGACGAAGGCCCUAGGGUUGUAAACCGCUUUCAGUAGGACGAAAGUGACGGUACCUACGAGAAGAAGACCCCGGCCAACCUAAUGUGCCAGCAGCCGCGGUAA
rnacentral:rRNA from 1 species